rnacentral:lncRNA from 1 species
CUGAGCAGGAUGAAGAAGAAGAAGAGGAGGAGGAGGAAGUCCCUCAGGAUCAGACCGAGACUGCGCUCAGGGCUGCCUGAAGGACGCCUGACUGUAAUGUUCUCCAUGAAUGAUGAAUGUGAGAUGCAGAGCAGGACGCUGCUUUUCAUCCAGAGGAGGUAGCUGUUUGUUCACCACAGAGAGGCUCAGAGACUAAACAGCUCUCCAGGUCUUCACUCGCUGGAUGAAAGCUGCAGCUUCAAUUCAACACAUGAGGAGGCGAAUCUGCACACUGCAAUCUGGGAUUCAUUGAUUUAGUGAGGAAAACUCUCAGAGUGGGAGCUCAAAAUUGUGUGAUUUCAUUUAACGAUGAAGAUGAUAAGGAGAAAAACAAGAUGAAUUAGAUGUGUGAUAAAAAAAAAUGGUUAAAAUGCAUCUACUUCAACAAGACCAUGCUAUUAAACUAUCUUGUUAUGUAUCUAGUAACACUGUAAAAUGAUGUCAGCUGGACCAACUAGAUCCAGAUUUGAGGCUAACUCAACACAAUCCAAAAUUGUUGCUUUUACAUUUUCUCAGAGUUUGACAUAAAUGAAAAUCAGGAUCUGUUUAAAUCAUCAUUUGCAAGUUUGACCUAAAGUCUGCAUAAAAAGGUGGAUGGCUUGGUAGCUCUCCUGAAGUGAAACCAAAAUGUUUAGCACUCCCUCUGCUGGCAGUCUACAAUAUACGUCAUAAAAGAGGAAGGAGACAUGAGUCAAACGAUAAAGUAAAGGCAGGAACACAGGUCAAAUCAAUGUUUCUCAAAUGCAGUCUAUAGUAUAAUAGCAAUGGCAAAGAAGGAAUGUGACAUCAUUGUUUACAUCUGUGUUGACCUAUGAGGCUCCUGCUGUGCUGUGUGGAUAGAAUUAUAAUGGUUGAGGAGCCGGAGUCUCAUAUUUGCAGAACGGAGCUCUAAAGGAAUUGUGUGGGGUCAUACUGAGAGCAGCAUUUGUUAUUCAGUGGUAAUUGAAAAUUCACCUGGUUAUGAAACAGACUGAAAGUUCAACACAGGAACAGCUGUUUGCUAUGUAGUUUAGUGGUCUAGGCUUUGCAUGUGAAGAGGAUUGUAACGCUGAAAUAAGUUGCAACUGUCCCUGUGUAAACAGCACCACCCAGUGUUUGCACAUGGUAGUAUGAGGGCUGCGAUGAUUACACGAAUAACAGUCCAAUCCUCAUUUUUGCAGAACAGAGCUCUAAAGGAAUUGUGUGGAGUCAUACUGAAAGCAGCUUUUUUUACAAUAGGUAGUUUCGCCAACUUCGCCCAUGCUAUUUGGCCUCAUUGACUCUACAGUAAAUGAGACCAUAAUCGAACUAAAUGAACAUCAUGUUGUGUUCAAUAAGACUGUAAACCAGAGAUGAAGAGUAUAAACUAGGAAAUAGGGAAAUAUUUUCUGAGGGAAUAAAUCUGCUGCGAGUUUUAAUUGGAGACUUUGGGGCUUUUUGGGAGUAGACUGUUUCUGCAACUAGUGAAGCCGCCCCCUGCUGGUCAGUGCAAAAAAGACAGGUUUAGGAUAUUUUUUCCACUUAUCAGGGGUUCAAUCCACCAUCCUUUUACAACCAAAUAGAUUUUUUCAUUUGAUCUGAGUAAAUUUACAUUUAAAUAGUUAUAUCUAAAAAUGCUUUUUCAUCAUUAGCACAAACAGGCUCCUACAAAGUUAAAGCAUUAGCUUACAUUUACCAUUGCUCUUUUUUAUUCCAUUAGCAGCUUUCUUUCCCUCUAAAAUCUUCCAUUACAUUGUGUUCUCUUUCUAUUUUCAGCUGUUGUAUCUUCUCUCUUCACAGCCUCCCUCCUCCCUCCCUCUCCUCAUCAUUUCAGCCUCACAGCUCGGUGUCUCUGCCUCCUCAUACCUCCUCUCCGCUCACUGCUCUGACAUCCUCAUCUUUUCUCCCCCCUCAGUUUCAUCCUGAGCAUGUUUAUUUCUCUCUGUGUGCCUCAGAGCGCAGCACUGCAGCACACUUUCAGGUGUCAGCAGAGCCGAUGAUGUUUGCUCUCUGCUUCUUUUGCAUGCAUGGUCAGGAGCAGACACUACAGAGGCAGUCUUGCAUCCAUACACACACUUACGCCUCUGGAUCAAACUUUUCUGUAUCUUUUACUGUUUAGCUGUCUCUAUAUCUCCAACAUCGAGAGCUAAACUGCAAUGUAGAAGAGGCUUGUAGAAAAUAAAUGUUUGGAGCUCAAUCUAUCAGAGCCCCCAGUGUAGUGUGGUUCUCAAAACGUACCGCUAUGAUGAUAUUUAAGUAUUAACAAGCCUUUUCUGUUUUGCAGCUUUGUACAGUUUGCUCUUGUUGAGCGUCUGAUUAAAUACAUGAGCUGUUAGCAUCUCCACUCUCUGCUGGAUAGUGCACUCUCAUUCUGACAGCUCGAAUCUGUUUUCAUAGAAGAUGAGAUGAAUUUGGAGGGGACACUUUAUUGUGCCAUCUACAUGACAAAUGUUGCAGUUUAUAAUCAUGGAAACUGAGAAUUUCAAGGCUUGAUCUAAAUAGGCAAUUGGACUGGGUGAACGUUCUUAAAGAUAUGUCUUUUCUCCGGUUCAGUAUGUUUACAUGCACAGUGAAAAGAUCAUACCUUGAUUAGGCCAUUUACUAGGAUUUUUUACGAAAGGAAUUUUUGACAGAAGCAUGUCCGCCUCUGCAAAUGGUCUACUUGGUCACCUGGAAGUUGUUAGCAGAGUUUUUUUGACCUAGUUUCCUUGAGGUUAGUCACAUGCUCCGUGGUGAAAGUGUUUUGAUUGUCCAAGAAAGGAAUCCAAAACUUAAUCAUACAUUGGUCAAAAGAAGUGACUCAUAGGGCUCUAUUUUCGUGCCCGCCGGCGGAGUGGCGGACAGUGGCUCACCCCCUGCGGAGGUAUUUUCAUCUGGCGGAGCCCGGCAAAUGGCCAGUUUGGUAUUUUCGUAGACUGAGGCGCACCGAGGUCUGCCAAGCUGGGCGUGGUGGCGCAGGGCGUUCUAACCUACCGUUUGGGUCUGUGAGAGGUUUACAGUGAUUUGGAUGAGGAAAUACUCAGAAAUACAAUUUUGCUCUUAGUUUUCUCAUCUGUCCUCUAGUAUCAGAAAAAUGUCAUAUAAACAUAUAGUCAACAAGAAAAAUAUGAUUUUCAUCAGAGUGGGUAGAAAAUAAUAGAGGUAAUUAAACAAUGACCUCAAAAUAACAAAACAAGACAGCUCUUUUACACCACACAAGCAUUUUAAUGGCUAGUAUCUAACAAUUAGUCACAGCUGCAUCUUGAAUAUGACAUUCUGACCCUAUAUGGUCAUUGCAUAAGCUUUAUACACAUAUCUAUAUGCUCAUUAUUUUGCUAAUUUGAAUUACACUUUCCAAAGUUGAAUAUUUUAUCACAAAUGCAGAAUAAAGUGGGUUUAACUGGUUAACAUUGUCCACUUUAUUGAGAAAAGACACGUCCACAGCCCUGGUGCAGCGAGGUGCAGACAGAGAAGGAGGGGGCUGUGGUGAAUACAUUACAGGAGGGAGAACUGCAGGAUCAGCAGGAGGAAUUUUAAUGAUGGUGAGCUUCAGUUUUGUCCAAUCACAUCAGCUGUUUGACUCUUUUAAAAGAGUCUCUGCAAACAGCCUCAGCGUCCUGCUCAUCAAGACACUCAGCAGUUUCUGGAUACUCUGCCACGUCCUGAAUAGAACACUUAAGAGGGCGUGGCAUCUCAGCAGGGCGUGGUCUCAGGUGUUACCCUCCACAUGCCCGGUUUUGAUGACCUGCUGAGCUUUUCUUUGAAGUGAGGUGGUCUCAUAUCAGCUCAGAGUUUCUUCUUGCUACAUGGUUCUCCCAAUCCUUUAAGGUAGUUUGCAUCAGGUCUGGGUGGUAUUUUACGAGAGAAGCAAUUAUGACCGAGUAUUUUGACUGUAGAGUAAAUACUGAACCUAUCCUACAUGAUCAACUUGACCUCUAAACACCAUGAUACCAACAAGCAGUUCCAUUUCCUAUCUUUGCUGGUACCAUUGCUUGUAUAUAAAGGCAUAUAUCAUGCCCCCAUCUCCUCCUCUUGUACAAAAGUUACACCAGAAUACCUGUGCUGACAUAUUAUACAUUUACAGUCAGUGUCUGAUGCAGAUAUGACAUAUGAAAACCAGACUGGGAUCGUGUGUCUUAUAAGCUGAUGGAGUCAAGCCCAGAACUGUUUGAGAGAUCUUUGCAGGAGAAACUGAGAGUUAAAGAGCUUUGAACCAUUGAAAUCAAACAGUAUUUCUAUGACAGACUACAUAUCAAUUGGCUGAUGACAUAUAAAUUUGCUAAGGCAAAUGCUAAGGCAUAGCAAAAGACGGUAAACAUGUGUGUCAGAGCUAGCUGAUUCAACUAGUGCUCAAGUGAGAAGGCAGAGCAGACAGCAGAAAGCAUUUACUUUGUGGAAAUAUUUCCACUGUUUGAGAUUUCGGGCAAAAUGGACAAAAACAACAACACAGUGUGAAUUAAUUAUGUCGAGGCUAUCAAGAGCUUGUUUUGCAAUGUUGUCAUUGAAACUACUGUGCCUAACACUCUGUCUCUACCUAGUUUGCUGUCAAAUUGUCACUUUACAAAUAGCGUAAGCCUUAAACUCUGUUAUGCCAUGGUUGUGGGGUCGACACUCUAAACUCUUAGAAGGUUCUGUGGGUUACCUGAUGUCUGGACAGUACAAGCAACCUGUGUUACAAGUCCAGGGUUUGAGGAAUUUAAGAUUUUUGGGAACGCAAGAGUACAUUAACUUUUGUCUACAAGUUACACUUAAAUGUAACGUGUUACUAUUUGAUAGCUGUAAUCUUAGAUCGUAGCAAGUUACUUAUAUGAGUUACAUUACCCAACAGAUCUGUUGACUGAUAAUUGUUACCAACAUGGUAGAAAGGGUCAUAAUACAUGUAGCAUCACUGUAAAAGUGAACAUUACCUCUCUUUCCUAAUACAUUACUACUUUCUAUCCCUGUCGAAGCCUCUCCUGCUCUCAAGAGGAUGAUCCCUUUCGAUACUAACUCCAUGACUAUUUCUGCAGCACCCCCUACAGGACAAAGGUGAUAUUUAAGCACCUCUGUCCUGCUAACGCUCCUAUUGUUGUUCGUAACAGACGUCGCAUGUUAUCUGGUGUCUCUUUGUCUCUCUCUUGUCCUUUCUCUACCUCCCUAUGUUAUCCACAAGAUGUACCACCCGUUUUCUAUCCUGCAUCUCUUCCUCCCACCAUCAUCUUUAACUCAACCCGUGUUUUUCUUUCACUCCUGUUCCCUCUUUCCCCCUCUCUGAGCCAGCUCUGUUCGUUAAACAUAAAAAGCUUCUUUCCCUGCUGCCAGUCCAAAGAAAAUCUGUUUUCUUUUUCCUUUUUGUUUCUGUCUGGGUCCCUGCUGCUUUGCUCUGCUGCUCCCCCCUCCUCUCUCUCUCCCCUCCUCCCUCCUCCUCCUCUGCUUUGCUGGCUCUGCUUUCAUUCCAGCCUCCUCCUUCUCCUCCUCCUCCCCCCUUCAGCUCCUCCAUCCCUUCGUCUUCCCUCUGGAGAAUAGGGGUCAUUGCACAAAUGAUUACUCAGACCCCGGUCGCCAUGGCAAUGCUGCCAUGUAACGGGCGACAGGCAUGCACAGGGCAAAGACGCCGAUUAGUAAGCCGGCGAUGGAGAAAGCAAGCGCUGCCUUUGUGUGGCUUCAUUUUGCCUCAAUUUUUUCCUCAAACACUGUGUGUGUGUGUGUGUGUGUGUGUGUGUGUGUGUGUGUGUGUGUGUGUGUGUGUGUGUGUGUGUGUGUGUGCUAACAGGGGAGGGGAGCAGGAAGAGAAAGAAAGCCUGCAAACAUUCUGCUCACAGCCUGCAGCUUUGUCUCCUCUCUCUCGCCUUCUGUGUCUGAAUGACGAAGUCUGCUGCUGCCGCUUUAAUUCAGCAACGGUUCUAACGGUUCUGCUCGAGUUUAUCAAGUCUGUUUGGAGCAGUGUGCCAGAAUUUAAAAGUUGCAGAAAUGGUGGGAAAACAUGCAAAUGCGAAAUAGUGAAAAAUCAGAGCAUCGCCAGCUCAUGUGCUGCUGUUAUUAGCUUUGAAAGAUAACCCGAGGGCGCGCUUAAAACAGGUUAAAAAUGUCUGCCCUCACGUUGGAGUAAUAGGUAACUUAGGCCCAUGUUAAAAUAAAAAUAGAAGAAAUCAAGACUUUUUAAAUUAUUUAUCAUAGGAGAAAAAAGUCUUCAUAAACUUAUUAAUAUACAAGAAUAAAACAAGAGUAUCUGGCUACAGACAAAGCAGACAUCUGUAACAAGCGGCAACCUCCCGUCUUGAGAAAGAAGCCAAUGCAGACGGCCAUAACCUGCAGUUCCUUCAGUACCCACUUGAGACUGACUGCAGAAGCACUGGAAACCACAUACACACUGAGCCAAACAGAGCAGUUUUUAGAGAAAUAAUCAAGUUUACAGCCUGGUUCAAAAAUGGUUUUAUUCUGAUUACCUCAGGGCUCCUGCACCACCCACUGUGUUGGGAGUAAAUUCUUCCAAAUGUUUCAAAAUUAUUCAGGACACAAGACUGUGGUAUAAGAAGCAUGGCUGACUGAGACUGGCAACCAGGAACAUGGCAACCAUUUGCAAUGAGGUUAAUUGCCAGCCUUUGAUGGGUCAACCAAAAGUUUGGUUGAAUCAGCAUUUCCAAUAUUGGCUUCAAAACCAUGAAAGCAUGGACAAUGGGAGGUUGGACCUUUAUUUGGAUCUUGGCUGUAAUUGGAAAAUAAGGCAAUCUACAGUUAUUCUAUUGUAUUCUAGUUGUUUUAUCAACAAACUAUACACUCUUAAAAAUGUUGGGUUAAGAACAACCCAAUUUGGGCAGUUUUCCAACCCAGCGCUGGUUAAAUAUUGGAUAGAACACAUGCUGGGUUGAUUUUACCAAACUAAUUGAAGGCAGAAGCUGGUACCCAACAGUGCUUCACAAACUUACAUCUUAACAACAAAAUGAAGGUCUAUAUGAUAAUAUCAAGUCAUCUAUAUGGUAAAGCAACAGUGGGAAUGGAACAAACCUUGCUUUGUAUGUCUCUUUGCUUCAGCAGUUGUGGCAUCAAUCUGGUGAGUGGGUGGUGCUUGGUUUCAAAUGCCCCAAUGUCUACCCAAUGUGUUGGGUAGUCCAAAAUAAACCAGCAAAACUGUAUAGAAAUUACAACACAACAGCUAAUAACUCUGUUGCCAACGUAAAUAACCUUGCGAAUUGGGUACUCAGAAUACCCAACUUCAGGGGAAUAACCCAAAUAAAUUGACCAACAGGCUCAACUUAGUGGUUGGGUUGAAAAAACAACCCAGCAUUUUUUUUUUGUGUGUAAGAGUUUGAUAAUCUAACUUGCAGUUAGGAAUCAAACUGGUCAUCUGAUGUAGCUCUGCGCGCAAGCAGUUAGUAAUCCUUUAGUGCAUGUUAAGUAUGAGCAAUCUGAUUUGCAUUAAAUUUAUUCCUCAUGUCAUUUUCACAAACUUUAAUAGUUACCUCAGUUUUGUAGUAAUUACCCAAAUGUACACCACCUGUUCUUCAUGAAAAACAAACAAACAAACAAAAGAAGAAAAAAAAACAGCACAUGUCCAAGAGUUUUUCUUUUUUGUUUCUGGAAAGAAUCAAACAUGAUGGUGGUGUGUGUGUGUGUUUGUUCCACCAUAAGCAUAUGUGGUGUGAGCAUGUGUUACUUAUGCAAGGCUAUAUCAGAUUACCCUGAAAGGGACGAAGCUGAAUAACAUGCCCAUACUUAGUCAGAACUUUGACUGUUUUGACUGAACAGCUGCUUCUCGCCUUCAUAUGGAAACACAAACCUGAGUGACCGGACACAUGUAAAAUGAGAAAAUAAUAAAUCCAUAGAUAGUGAAGGGUUUCAGUGAAAACCAGUGCAGCACUUGACCGUUACAUUGAUUAAUAACUGAAAUAGCUGUUGGAGACUUCUACUCAUGUUUAGGUUCCUCUGUUGUAUGAGCUUAGAUGAGAAUUGAAGGACCUUACCAUUGAAUACAACACUUUUAUUAGAUACUGUGCUCGUUCUUUACAAAACCCAAAGUGGUUAUUGCAGUCAAAAAAAAUCCAAUGAAGCACUUGGGUUACCAUAGUCCAUAUAGUCCUGUACUUCUCCUUAUGGCUCCAGUUCCGUUGGCUUUCUUGGAGCACAUCAAGUAAAUAGCUGCUCACUGAUUGGUUAUUGCCAAGCUUGGUUAUGUCCUGACACUGAGUUGCAUUCCCUUGCAACCCUAAAGUUUUUAUGUUUGAAGCUCUGCUGGUCAGGUUUUGCAUUCAGUACAUUUAUGCACAGUUAAGUAAAGCUACAGUUAAAGUUCUAUUAGGCGAUCACAAGAACUGAACAACUUAACAACCCCACUUACUUGUUAACUUGUUAUAAUCUGGUCAUCUCCCAGUUGACUUAUUGACGAUGAAAACACCAUCACUUUUACUGUUCAGCACCUUUUGUUUGUACGAUAAAGUUUAGUCUUUUUAAUGUCCUUUCUUUGUUUUUCAGGUUUUUUUUACUACCUGGCUUCCUGGAAACACAUCCAAGCUGUUCAAUUUCAGCUCAAAGCCCAGCAUGCAAACCCUGGAGCAUGCUCAGAACGCUUAUGCAGGAUGACCAUACGCCCUCUUUUACCCGG